AGCAGAUCUCAUGGCGCUGCAGUCUCAGCAGCACUGGCUCCCUCCAGCCCUGAGUGCCAACAGGCAAACUUUGCUGAUUUGGAAACUGCCAGCCCAGUACUGAGUCUAUGAUGGACUGGCUUCAUUCAAUAUCUAGAGUUUUCCUCUCCCUAUCUAACACUUUCCUCAUUUUUCUCCUUAUUAGGACAUCUCCUGGAUAAUUACUACAUUUGUUUUCCCUAGUGAUUGCUAGGUAUUUCCUAACAUCACUUUAAUGCUCCUGUUUGUUGAAAGUGUCUUGUCCCCUGGAUAUCCUGGGUCCUUGCUGGUAAAGAGGAAGGCCAGGCUGGCAAGUAUACAGACCCCUAAAGAGAGGGGCACAGAGAAUGAAUUCUGUUCUCAGCCCUCCUUCAGACUUACUGGGAACCUGCUCAAACCUAGUAACCGCAGUGCGCUUUGGAUCCGGCUUUGUAUAUGCAUAUGUACUGAUGGUGCCUUGUGUCAGAGAUGCAAGUGUUACCCUGCUAACAUCACUGCUGAGAUGACAGAGACUGGAGCCAUAAACUUAAGAUCCAAAUCAGCUUUCCCAAAGUCUUGCUCUGCCCAGCAGAGCAAGUAGCCUGGCAAAGUACAGUAGCCUGGAUAGUCAACAGCAAAGAAGAAUUUGUGCCCUUCUCUCGUGAACGGCGAGUAGGGGCUUUGGACGCAGUGGCCGGGACGUAGAGGAGCCAUACUGGGGCCCAAACUAGCUCAGACAAAAUAUCCACCUAGCCCAGUAUGUGCACUAGUCACCAGCAGUAGUUGGUAUGGAAAACGUUUCUGAAGUAGGAUAAAUGUGGAACGACCCUUCUCCAGGUGUAUCUUCUCAGAGCUGCAGGCCCUCCUGUUUGGUAAGGUGUGGAGGCCCUUCAGUCCCUGCACUGCCCAGCGCUGCGAUGAAGCCACCACUGCCCAGCGCUGCAAUGAAGCCACCCUGCGAUGAGGCCACCAAUGCCCAGCGCGGCAAUGAGGCCACCCUGCGAUGAAGCCACCACUGCCCGGUGCUGCAGUGAAGCCACUGCUGCCUGGCACUGCGAUGAAGCCAUCCUGCAAUGAAGCCACCACUGCCCAGUGCUGCAGUGAAGCCAUCACUGCCUGGUGCUGCAAUGAAGCCACCCUAUGAUGAGGGCACCAAUGCCGAGUGCUGCGAUGAAGCCACUGCAGCCUGGCACUGAGAUGAAGCCACCCUGUGAUGAGGCCACCACUGCCCAGCGCUGCGAUGAGGCCACCACCACCUGACACUGUGAUGAAGCCACCCUGCGAUGACGCCACCACUGCCCGGCGCUGCGAUGAAGUCGCUUCCUGGGCCAGCGGCUGCCAGAAACACGUCUAGCAGGCACUGGUGAGACUUGCUGCCAGGAGAGGUCCAGCACUCGCAAACCUAGGUGUGUUUUCGUCCUCACAACCUCUGGUGGCAGUAAGGUUCACCAUUUAACUGUACCCUCUGUGGCAGGAAAAAAAAAUCUUUCCGUUUAUUGUAAAUCUGUUACCUGGGGUGACUGCAUCUGCUGAAGUUACCUGACUGCUGCGUGCUUCGUUUGCUGCUCCCCCAGCUCUUGCGUUACAAGCAGCGGGGGAAGCCCCGCUCGCCGCCUUGACACCG
ensembl:lncRNA